rnacentral:rRNA from 1 species
AGAGGCAAUAAUGUUGAUAUGAGUAACAAGAAAUAAUUUCUCCUUGCAUAUGUGUAUAUCAGAACGGAUAGGCCGCUGAUAGUUAUCAAAAUUUAUAUAUCUACAAACAAGUACAUAAUAAUAAUUGUUAGUCCAACACAGGAAUGCUAACCAAGGAAGAUAAAAGAAGUAAAAGGAACUCGGC